rnacentral:lncRNA from 1 species
CUAUGGCUCUUAAGCCUCCUCUUAGACGCCAAAUAACAUGCAAGAAAAGGCUCAAAUGUUGGAAGGACUUCUGUGCAAAAACUGCAGAGCCACUCUUGAGUCUCACUGAGAUCAGAAUGAAACAAUUUAUGUUUCUGGGCAUCAGUACCUUCGACUGACCUCGCUGCUGAAUACUUAUUGUGAUUUUUGUGCUGCAGCACAUUCCAAGUUCAAAGUAAGAUGUAUCUGCCUUAGUAAUACAUGUUGGAGAAAAAUCAAUUUCUAUGAUAAAUGGCGUGGAUCCUGUCUUGUCUUGGGGCACUGUUGGCAGUGCAGUCUGAGCACAGUGUGUUCAUUCCUGAGAGACCACAGCUCUCUGUGCACCAUGAAGCACUUGCUAUGUCUGAAUGUUUUAGGCUAAAGCUGCAGUGUGCAGGGAAGGAAACCACGGCUAACCAUUUGAUCAUAUCUGAGGGAACUCUUCGUGGGCCUUGAAGGAAAGGUGGAAUUUGCACUUGUAUGAAUGGGAUUGGAGGCAGUGGGGCACAGAGAACAUUCCAAGCUGAGAAGGCAAGGUCAGGAAAGGAAGCCGCGUGGGAGGAGCAGAGUGUGGAGCACAGAGUCUGCCAUCAACAGAAGAGACAGGAACACAGGUUGAAGCAACUGAUGGGGCCUGAAUUAGGACUCUUUCAACCUGUGCUCACCAACAGGUGUCAGCCUCACUCUCCCCAGCUGCAGGCCAACUUCCUCCAGGUAGCCCAGUAGGUCUGGGGUGGCUGGAAGGCCUUAGUCAUCGCCCCUGGCAUGUCACACCCCAGCUGGGAUUUUGCCCUGAGGGCACUGGGAAGCCACUGAAAAAUUUUCUUCAGGGGAGUGGCAUGAGAAGCCUGCAGUUUUGAAAGACCAUUGUGUACAAUGGUUAGACAUAGGGAGGGAGAAAGGAGGCUCCAGGAAGAAUCGGAAUGAGAACUGAUGAGGACCUGAACUGCAGCAGGAGGAGAGAGAGUGGCGAGGACGUCUCACGUGUGAGGACGUCUCACGUGCUGUCAUGUCAUUUAUUGGCACCACCUUCAACACAACUACUCAAGCCCAGUUGCUGAGCAUCAUCUGGAAUCCUUUCACCUUCCCAUGCACAAUCCUUGAGAUCCGGAGAUGCUACCUCCAAAAGGCAACCAAAAAAUCUAACGACGACUCACUAUCUUCCCAUCUACUGUCCAGUUGUGUAUAUAUGCGUCUAUGGACCAGGUAGUGUGUCAAAGGUAUUUCUUAGCUGUAGGGUUGCAGCAAAAAAGUUUGGAAGCUAUUCAUUGCCCAUUAGGCAAUUAAAGAGUAAAGAUGUGGCCCCUGCCUACAUCUUUAAUCUCAUCUUCUGUCAUCUCCCCCUCUUUGCUCCUUUAGUCCCUGGAAAGUGGUAAGCUCUUUCCUGCCUUGGGGCCUUAGUAUUUGCUGUUAACUCUACCUGGAACAUUCUCCUUAUCUUUCCCAUGGCUGAUUCACUGCCAUCCUUCAAGUCUCAGUUUAAUGUCAUAUCCUCAGAGAGGCCCCCCAUCCAUAUUAUGUAAACCAUGUCUUCUUCCCAUCACUACACGCUAUGGUCUGAAAGUUUGCAUCUCCCCAAAAUUCAUAUAUUGAAACCUAAUCCCCAAUGCAAUAGGAUUAAGAGGCGGGACCUUUAGGAAAUAAUUAGGUCUUGAGGGUAAAGCCCUCAUGAAUGGGAUUAGUGCUUUUAUAUAAUAAAAGAGGCCUGAAGAAGCUUAUUAGCCCCUUCUGCCAUGUGAAGACUCAUAGAAAGUGCCAUCUAUGAGGAAGCAGGCCCUCACCAGACAUCAAUGCUGCUGCCUUGAUCUUGGGCUUCCCAGCCUCCAGAACUGUGAACAAUGAAUUUCUGUUGUUUAUAAGUUACCUAUCUAAGGUAUUUUGUUAUAACAGUCCAAAUGGACUAAGCCCUAAAGGACUUUUUCUAAUGAAUAGCUACAGGUUGAUUUACGAUCAGUUUUUUUAUGAGACUGUAAGCCUUCUGAGGUCAGUAAUGGUGUGUGUAUGUGACUGUACCCUGCAUCUGCAUCCUACUUUUACCUAACAAAAAGAGCCUCACAGAAAGCUUUGGCAAUUAAUGACAGCCUGUAGAGUUCUGUAUUCAUAGAAGCAGUAGGGGUACAUGCUGCAGUGGGUAGAAUUGUGUUCCCCAAAAAGAGAUGCUCAAGCCCUAACCCUGGUAUCUACGAAUGUGAUCUUAUUUGGAAAUAGGGUCUUUGCAGAUAUAAUUAGUUAAGAUCAGGUCAUACUAGAGUAGGAUGGGCCCUUAAUCCAAUAUGACUGGUGUCAUUAUAAGAAGAGGAAGAGAUACACAAGGGCACACACCAGGAGAAUGUCAUGUGACAAUGGAAGCAGAGAUUGGAGAGCUGUGUCUAUAAGCCAAGUAACAUCAAGGAUUGCUGGCAACACCAAAAGCUAAGAGAAAGGCGUGGAACGGACUCCCACCUUGAGCCUUCAGAGACAGCGUGGACCUACUGACACCUUGACUUCAGACUUCUAGCCAGAACUUUGAGAGAAUAAAUUUCUGUUUUUUAAGACCCCGUGUUUGUGGUACUUUGUUAUGGCUGCCCUAGUGUAUGCCAUUUGGGUAAAAUUAGAUAACAAAAUAUUUCUAAAAUGAAAUCUAGCUCUAAGGUUGGUGGAUUUUAUGCAGAGUAAUUAGUAAGGGUAUGAAGGUAAGCACAAUAAAGUAUUUGGGGGACCUGGAAAUGAUUUCUAAAGCACGUCUUAUUCCUCGAAGGUAAA